rnacentral:rRNA from 1 species
CCUACGGGAGUCUGCAGUGAGGAAUAUUGGUCAAUGGGCGGAAGCCUGAACCAGCCAAGUCGCGUGAGGGAUUAAGGCCCUGCGGGUCGUAAACCUCUUUUGCCGGGGAGCAGAGGUCCGGACGUGUCCGUGCCGGUAGAGUACCCGUAGAAAAAGCCUCGGCUAACUCCUUGCCAGCAGCCGCGGUAAUACGGAGUAUUCGAGCGUUAUCCGGAUUUAUUGGGUUUAAAGGGUGCGUAAGCGGGCAUUUAAGCCGGCGGUAAAAUGUCGGGGCUCAACCCCGGCCUGCCGUCGGAACUGGGAGCCUUGAGUGGGCGAGAAGUAUGCGGAAUGCGUGGUGUAGCGGUGAAAUGCAUAGAUAUCACGCAGAACCCCGAUUGCGAAGGCAGCAUACCGGAGCCCGACUGACGCUGAGGCACGAAAGUGCGGGUAUCGAACAGGAUUAGAUACCCUGGUAGUC